GUUUGUACCCGUGGAAAAUAUUUAGUUUUUUUUGUUGUUAGAGUACCCUUUGAGCUUUAUAUGCUGUUAUGUGAAUAAGCAAAUAACCACAAUGACAUAUAUUUCACUAUUUGCAAAUUUCUAUUCAGAAACACAUUUCUUAUAUCUUCCCCAGAGAGUUUCUUGAAUCACAUCUUGGAUUUUUAGAAAUAUAAAUUGUCUGUCUCAGUACGCCUGGUUCAACUAC